rnacentral:rRNA from 1 species
AGCAGUCGCCGCGGGAAUACAGAGGGUGCGAGCGUUAAUCGGAUUUACUGGGCGUAAAGCGUGCGUAGGCGGCUUUUUAAGUCGGAUGUGAAAUCCCUGAGCUUAACUUAGGAAUUGCAUUCGAUACUGGGAAGCUAGAGUAUGGGAGAGGAUGGUAGAAUUCCAGGUGUAGCGGUGAAAUGCGUAGAGAUCUGGAGGAAUACCGAUGGCGAAGGCAGCCAUCUGGCCUAAUACUGACGCUGAGGUACGAAAGCAUGGGGAGCAAACAGGAUUAGAUACCCGAGUAGUCCCUGUCUCUUAUAU